rnacentral:tRNA from 1 species
GCAGUGGUGAUUCAGUGGUAGAAUUAUUGCCUUCCAUGUGGGAUCCCUGGGUUCGAUUCCUGGCCAACGCA